rnacentral:tRNA from 1 species
GGAUAGCUCAGUUAGUUAGAGUGUGGUGCUGAUAAUGCCAUGGUUGCAGGUUCGAUCCCUGUCAGGGACA